CGAGACGACAGCAAGCUAGAGCGCCUUGUGUCGACGUCACGUUGGUGUCAGUGAAGUAGACAGCUGGAGUACGGAAUAUGAAAGUUGAUGGGAGUUGGGAGCCGCCGUUAUUGUAACCCCAUUUGAAGGCUCGUUUUAUUUAUAUAACAGCUCUUAAUAAGCGUGGGGAGAAGCCUUACAGUAUGGACCAGCCUGCACCCAAAAGCAAGUUGAAAAAACUGAGUGAAGACAGUUUAACAAAGCAGCCAGAGGAAGUUUUUGAUGUCCUAGAGAAACUUGGUGAAGGAUCAUAUGGAAGUGUUUACAAAGCAAUACAUAAGGAGUCUGGUCAGGUGGUGGCUAUUAAACAAGUGCCAGUUGAAUCAGACCUACAAGAAAUUAUUAAAGAGAUUUCCAUCAUGCAACAGUGUGACAGCCCAUAUGUGGUAAAAUAUUAUGGCAGCUACUUUAAGAACACAGACCUGUGGAUUGUGAUGGAGUACUGUGGAGCAGGAUCUGUAUCGGAUAUUAUCAGACUGAGAAACAAAACUCUAACAGAGGAAGAAAUUGCAACCAUUUUGAAAUCCACACUUAAAGGACUGGAGUAUCUACACUUCAUGAGAAAAAUUCAUAGAGAUAUCAAAGCUGGAAAUAUUCUUCUGAACACAGAGGGACAUGCAAAACUGGCUGAUUUUGGUGUUGCUGGGCAGCUUACAGACACAAUGGCCAAGCGGAACACUGUCAUCGGUACACCAUUUUGGAUGGCUCCAGAAGUAAUUCAGGAAAUUGGGUAUAACUGUGUUGCAGACAUCUGGUCAUUAGGAAUAACCUCUAUUGAAAUGGCAGAAGGAAAACCACCAUAUGCUGAUAUUCAUCCAAUGAGGGCUAUUUUUAUGAUUCCUACCAAUCCACCUCCAACAUUCCGGAAACCAGAGCUGUGGUCUGACGAGUUCACUGAUUUCGUAAAGAAAUGUUUGGUGAAGAAUCCGGAGCAAAGAGCUACUGCUACUCAGCUUUUACAGCAUCCAUUUAUUAAAAAUGCAAAACCUGUAUCAAUUUUGCGAGAUCUAAUAACAGAUGCUAUGGAUAUCAAAGCCAAAAGGCAUCAAGAGCAGCAGAGAGAGCUGGAAGAAGAGGAUGAAAAUUCAGAUGAGGAGGUUGAGGUUGAUGCUCACACCAUGGUGAAAACCAGAUCAGAAAGUUCUGGCACAAUGAGGGCAUCUGGAACCAUGAGCGAUGGAGCCCAAACAAUGAUUGAGCAUAAUAGUACAAUGCUGGAGUCAGACCUUGGAACAAUGGUGAUCAAUAGUGAUGAAGAAGAAGAGGAGGAUGGCACCAUGAAAAGAAAUGCUACGUCGCAACAGGCCCAGCGACCAGCUUUCAUGGAUUACUUCGACAAGCAGGAUUCUAAAAGCAAAGCACAUGAAAACUGCAAUCAGAAUAAACAGGAACCAUACCACAUAAAUAAAAAUGUGUUUCCAGAUAACUGGAAGGUUCCUCAGGAUGGAGACUUUGACUUUCUGAAAAAUCUGAGUUUUGAGGAACUGCAGAUGAGACUCAGUGCCCUGGACCCAAUGAUGGAGCGGGAGAUUGAAGAACUGCGCCAGCGAUACACUGCAAAGAGGCAGCCAAUUUUGGAUGCCAUGGAUGCUAAGAAACGCAGGCAGCAGAAUUUUUAAAUUGCAAGAAGAAGAAGAAUGCAAAAGCCAGAGCAUUCAGUAACAGCAAGGGCUCCUAGAGUUAACUCUCUGUGGACAUUGUCAGAUUUGUUUAAAUUGUAUUUAAAUGAAGAUUUGUACAACAUUGUAUCUUUGGGCAUUCUUUUCUUUUAUUACUUGUUUUUAGCAUCUCUCACUGGAUACAAUUAGAAGAAUGCCGAAGAAUUAUGGGAGUCCAAGGGAUGCACACAAGUGUAAACCAAAGAUUAACUGUUGUGGAAUUCUGUUACAACUUACUUUGGCAUCAGAAAAUAGAAGAAUCUUUGUUCCUUGAUGUGUGCUGUUUAUUUUUGUGGACUUGUUGGCACUAUGGCACCCACUUUUUCAUGGACCUGAUAAACUGAGCACAGUAGUGCUCAACUGGAACACAAAUUUGAACAUGUGGACUAAGAGCAAAUGAAGAUCCAGUGAUUUAGUGGGCACAAUACUGGGACCAAUUCAUAUUGUCAUUAAACACAGUCGUUUUGCACCUCACUUCAUUGCUCAAUUUUCCUGAAAGAAGAUUUGUCUUCUCCAUCAAUGUGGAUGGCAGUAU